rnacentral:rRNA from 1 species
GUAAUAAGUACUUGUACUAAUUACUCUUAGCGGCGAACGGGUGAGUAACACGUAAAGAACCUGCCUUAUAGACUGGGACAACUACGGGAAACUGUAGCUAAUACCGGAUAAUAUAUAAAUCCGCAUGGAUGUAUAUUGAAAGUCGCUCAUGGUGACACUAUAAGAUGGCUUUGCGGUGCAUUAGCUAGUUGGUAGGGUAAAGGCCUACCAAGGCAACGAUGCAUAGCCGACCUGAGAGGGUGAUCGGCCACACUGGGACUGAGACACGGCCCAGACUCCUACGGGAGGCAGCAGUAGGGAAUCUUCCGCAAUGGGCGAAAGCCUGACGGAGCAACGCCGCGUGAGUGAAGAAGGAUUUCGGUUCGUAAAGCUCUGUUGUUAGGAAAGAAUGAUUAUGUAGUAACUAUACAUGAUAGAGACGGUACCUAACCAGAAAGCCACGGCUAACUACGUGCCAGCAGCCGCGGUAAUACGUAGGUGGCAAGCGUUGUCCGGAAUUAUUGGGCGUAAAGCGCGCGCAGGUGGUUUAAUAAGUCUGAUGUGAAAGCCCACGGCUCAACCGUGGAAGGUCAUUGGAAACUGUUAAACUUGAGUGCAGGAGAGAAAAGUGGAAUUCCUAGUGUAGCGGUGAAAUGCGUAGAGAUUAGGAGGAACACCAGUGGCGAAGGCGGCUUUUUGGCCUGUAACUGACACUGAGGCGCGAAAGCGUGGGGGAGCAAACAGGAUUAGAUACUCCUGGUAGUUCCACGCCCGUAAACGAUGAGUGCUAAGUGUUGGGAUUCAAAAGAAUUCCAGUGCUGCAGCA